rnacentral:lncRNA from 1 species
AGUGAUGCACACAACCAUUUUUAUUGCAAAGUUGUAGCGAGUCAUACAAUUUAGCGAUCGGAGAUCGUCGAUACAAAGAUAAGCCAGCGAAAAAAACCAAACAUAGAGAGUCUAUGCAUUAAGUCGUCUAGUAAACCGCCAUCCAGCCCGGUUGAAGAUAUCCCGUGAGACCAUCUCCAGAUGGGUGCAUUCAAUAUCCAAUGGUUCCCGCUGGUGCGAUGGGAGCAGAAAAGCCCAUACCCGAAUCCACUGCGUGGUUUUGUAGAUAAACAUGUUAAGAGCUGCUUUCAACACAGAUGAUGGAUUUUUUACUGGACUUGACACAUUAGGUAGUGUAUAUAUGCAAAUAGCCUCACUUCAUCCUCUCUUAGAUCAAGAUGCUGCAACAGUAUUGAACGAUUUUAAUCUAAACAAUUUUUAUCCUUGCAAAUGCAGAACCAAUUGUACAGUAUUGAACCUUUGCAGACGCAAAAUGAAAGCAAAGAAGAUUUACCUAAUAUACAUAUACAUCGUGUGGAAUUCAGCCUGCUAAAAACUUCAUAAAUCCCAAUUCCCACGGUCCACGUCCUGCGUAAUAAUUGCUUAGUAUAGUUGCUCUACAGAACAUGUAAUCAAGGGGAAAGGAACAAAUGGAAGCAUACAAAAGACCUUAUAUGAUGGAUGAUAUUUGGGAGUAUUAGUGGUUUCAAAAAAUUAGGCAACGCAUUUUAGUAUAGCCUUUAUAAAAGUAUCAAUAGAAUAUGUCUAUUCAAUUCAAAGCUAUUACCAUGUUGUACAUUGUUCGAUCACCAUUGAAAAUAAAUAAAAUUAGAUGAUAUAAUAACCAAAAAUUGCUUGCGUAAAUGAUGAAUGGCUCAUUAAUUCAACAUAACAUAAGUCUUCAGGAUAUUUGUGGCAACAUGUGAACUAAUGUCACCGCUCCCUGUCUACGCUUCAGUCUAUACUAAAUGUCCAAAUUAGCGUCCUUAUAAAAAAAAGUCCAAAUCAGUGAAAGAUUAGAAAGUAGAAAACUUUUGAUAUGCUAGCGAAACCAAUUAAUGACAAACUUUAAAAGAUACUCCGUCCGAUCCAUAAUAAGUGUCAUUGAUUUAGUACAAUUUUGUAAGUGUAGUUGAUUUAGUACAAAGUUGUACUAAAAUUGUACUAAAUCAACGACACUUAUUAUGGAUCAGAGAGAGUAAUAUUCAUGGAAGUAAGAACUUGUAAAUAGCACAUAUUUCACGACAACACAACGUCCAAAACAUAAAAAACUAUAUAGUAUGAAGCUGCAAAAGCCUUAGAAUUGCUCCUGGAGAUGCAUCAAUCAGAAUAUGCUUACAUGAAAAGCAAAAAAUUAAAUGGAAAUGAUAGGACAUGACUGCAUAGUUCUCUUACCCUGAGACUUCUGUCUAAAUUUUUGCAACUCCCAAAUAAGAGCAUACCUUUGUUGUAUGGAACUUUUAGAUUCCUUCAAUGAAAAAACUUUUAGAUUCAUGACCUCUGAAUGCCGGCUCAUCAAUGUCCUUAUUUUCAAAUUUUGUUGCUAGCGUGCUAGUCAUGUGGUAGUGAAUGAGGAAUUCACCAGCUAAAAUGAUGAGCAUGAAGAAAAAUAUAUUAGCAUCAAUUUUUAAACAUAGGUACCAGAGAUGUGAGAAUAGAUAGGCAAACACUACCUGACACUCUUUAAAUCAGAUGGCAAAAUUGACAGUAGCAAGCAAGGACAAUCAACAACUUUCCUAGAAGGAUUCAUUGGUAUAGGCAGUAACAUCUCUUCACUCUAAAUAAUGCAAAAUUUGCAAGGAAAAGAGUUGCAAUGUUGAUGAACAAUCACCUGAUAGAAAUUCUUUCACCGUGGCCAUGGCAGAUGUAUAUCACCUGGUAAAUAAUUCUCUUCAUACUAUCCUUUCAGCUCACACUGACCUGAACCUGAAGCAAAAUAACUGCUAGGAAAAGAAAAUGAAUUACUAUACCCCCUAUCUUAUAACAUUCAACUGCACUUUUAAUUAAUCUUAACAUUGUUCAAAUGGUUUGCUAUGGAAAACCGAAUUAAACUAAUAAAACACCAUGAUACAUGUUAGCGCAUACAAAUAUAGCAAGGUAAGAAGAUAUCAAAUCAAUUAAUGGUCAAUAACUUGUUAUCUGCUGCAGGCUUUCUCAUCCAUAUAUGACCCCUACUUUGUGUGUACUGAAUAUAUAAUGUCAAAUUCAAGGUUCUGAGAUUAUCUGGUGAAUUGAACAAAUUAUCAAAGGGAAUUCUAGGCCUAUUAAAACUUUAUAGUUUUAGGGAACUAAUGAAGAAACAUACCUCACAAUGAAAUACCGCCAUGAAAAUUGACGUGGUUCCAUUAUGAACCAUCCCACAAUUUGCAUGAGAAUUUCAAUAACUUGAGAGUAAAAUUCCAAUUACUUAAGAGAGGGAGACAGUCCCAAUUCCCAAUCUGCAUGAGAUCCAAUUAUAAUAGAGGAAUUCCAAUUCUCAAUCUUAAUGAGAAAUUCCAAAUACUUUUGUCUCAAUUCCCAACGUCUCUCAAGCAAAAUCCAGAAGCUUCUGAGGGUGUCAUAUCACCACAGAACCAUAACCUGAGAUUACAAAUUUUGUAAAACGAUAAAUCACCUUAGCACAUAGAGAAAGAUACAGUGAGAGGGAGAAAACUGUGUGAGGUUAAUGUAUAAGCUCGAAUCAGUUAUACAACAAAUAUGCAUAAACAUAGAACUGAUAUUCGAGGAAAAAACAUUCAUCUCCUUGAUUCUAAAAGACAGUGGUCAGAUCAGGCCGCGUGUGGCGGGGCCUCCGCAUCAACAUAUUCAACUCCAGUUAAAAGCCUGCGCCUGGGCGACUGCUUCGCCGCGCUGGGCGCAGCACUGGCCACCGUGGUGGAGAUGACGCUUGGGACUCCUGAAUCGCCUGUGCACUUUUACGACGUGAGCCUUUGUGGACGGCUUCAGCCGGUGUCCAUGGCGCCCAUGAGCCCUUGUGGUGAGGGUGUAGCAUGGCAGCUUGCGAGGUUGUGCUGCCCGUGGGCGUUGGAGGUUGGGGACAGGGAAGGGAAGGAGGUCGGUUGAAGGAGGAAAAAGGAAUGGCGGAGGAAGGUGAAGGGGAAUGAACAUGGGAACUUCGGCCAGGAGAAACGUCGGGAGGAAAGACGAUAGAAGUGGGC